CUUUUUCAGGUUCGAUGUGGUGUUUCUGGACGAAGAGAUCAAUGCUGCCUUUGCAGAGAUUGCAUUUGACUAAAAUGUUUUUCUCUUCUCCUCGGUUAACAAAAAAUAAUGGGAGCAUUUCCACUAGGAAUUUUUAGAUUUUCAGCUUUAAGUUAGCCUACAGCAUGAAUAACACUAGCAUGAGACAAGGCUUUAAAAAUAUAUAUAUAACAAGCCGGUAGAGAUGUGCGCCUGAAAGUACUAUAUUGGUUACUUGAAAAAGUAACUGUAAUAAUAUUACAACAUUUGAGACAGUAAUUCAUUCAUUAUUCCAUUACUCAUAAGGUAAUAUAUGGUGUAAAGUACCUGUUAAACUCUGAGUGGUUGUCUUGGGCCCAGUACAGGGCCUGAGUUUGGGGGGUUGAAAAUCCGUUCAGCCAUUGUGGCACGGUGACUCACUACCCAAACCAGAUGCAUCUGAUUUCAAGUGGCCAAGAGAAGUCAUGUGAUCUCCAUCUAGUGGACGAACUGGGAAUCAGACAGACGAUAGGUAGAGACUUUCUCCUCAUGUGUAUAUAAUUCCUGUAAGACAAAACACAAAACACAUGCAUCCCUGAGGAACCCCACAUCCUCGAUGGGCACCACUUCCAUAAGGAGGUUGUUCUUACAGCAAGAGGCCAGGUAUCACUCUGCCACCCCACUGCACAAGAUGCAGCCAUUAGACCCUACCGUCUCCAAGGGUCUGAAGGCCUUUUCCAACAGGGGAGCAGAUCAGUGGAUGACGACCCAUCCUGGGAAAUAGAUAGGUUAUACCAAAUGGUUGGCCUCUUCGCAAAGGCCUAUAAAAAGGUGGCCAGUGUGAAGAGAGGAGUGGAGGCCUUCCGGGCCAGUGGGCGAACUUCGUGGCCGUUAUAGGGGUGCCUGAGCCCAUAAGAAAAAGUAAUUUCAAUUUAAAAAAGUAGCAGAAGCAGCAUGUACUUGGUAGAACGUGUUUAUUGCACUAACACCAAUGUAUUGUUUUUGUUGUUUAUUUUCAGUGCAAAGAAUCCAUUCAACCACAGUGCUCUACCGCCGCCCCUGCCAACUCUGCCGAUACGGCCACCAGCUCUACCGCCGCCAUCACUACCUCUACCUCCACCACAUCUACCUCCGCCACAACCUCCACCCUGCAGCCUACACUUGCUCCAAAUGAACGUAUACCCUUGUGGGUGAUUGAAAGAUGAGCUGACGUCCACACUCCAGUCGGUUGGAGUUAGUUGCCAACUGCCAUAUAAAGUCAAAAGAAGAAAAAAAAGCCUGAAGGAAGGAGGAGAGAUGAAGAGAAACUCAUUUGGUUUACCGUUUUAUCUGUGGAUUAAUUGUGGGAGUAGAGGACCUUGUGCAUUUCAGGUAAAGUAACAACCCAAUGUUUAUAACCCAGGACAAAUUA
rnacentral:lncRNA from 13 species